GUGCUUGCUUCAGCAGCACAUAUACUAAAAUUGGAGAUACACAGAUUAGCAUGGCCUCUGAAGAAGGAUGAUAGGCGAAUUUGUGAAGCAUUCCAUAUUUUA